CUUCAGUAAUUUUAAGGUUCUAUGGAGGUCAAAGGUCAAAGGUCAAGAGUCUUCAGUAUUCUUAACUCCACAUAAGAAUUUACCAAGUUUUAAGAAUAUUUAGACCAUUUUAAUGACACUAGGAAGGUUCUAUGAAGGUCAGAAUGUCAAAGGUCAAAAUCUUCAGUAAUUUUAAGGUUCUAUGGAGGUCAGAAAGUCAAAGGUCAAAAUCUUCAGUAAUUUUAAGGUUCUAUGGAGGUCAAAGGUCAAAGGUCAAGAAUCUUCAGUAAUUUUAAGGUUCUAUGAAGGUCAAAGGUCAAAGGUCAAAAUCUUCAGUAUUUUUAAGGUUCUAUGGAGGUCAAAGGUCAAAGGUCAAGAGUCUUCAGUAUUUUUAACCCCACAUAAGAAUUUACCAAGUUUUAAGAAUAUUUAGACCAUUUUAAUGACACUAGGAAGGUUCUAUGAAGGUCAGAAGGUCAAAGGUCAAGAAUCUUCAGUAAUUUUAAGGUUCUAUGGAGGUCAAAGGUCAAGAAUCUUCAGUAAAUUUAAGGUUCUAUGGAUGUCAGAAGGUCAAAGGUCAAAAUCUUCAGUAAUUUUAAGGUUCUAUGGAGGUCAGAAGGUCAAAGGUCAAGAAUCUUCAGUAUUUUUAACCC